rnacentral:rRNA from 1 species
UACGUAGGGGGGCAACGUUGUCCGGAUUUACUGGGCGUAAAGAGCGUGUAGGCGGCCAGACCGGUCCGUUGUGAAAACUGGAGGCUCAACCUUCAGACGUCGACGGAAACCGUCUGGCUAGAGUCCGGAAGAGGAGAGUGGAAUUCCUGGUGUAGCGGUGAAAUGCGCAGAUAUCAGGAGGAACACCCAUGGCGAAGGCAGCAAACUGGGCAUUAUCUGACGCUGAGGCGCGAAAGCGUGGGUAGCAAACAGG